GACUGAAAGAUCAUUUGCUGUCUACAUGUGUUUUUAAUCUCCAGAGAUUCCAUCACUCCCAACCGGCUGAAACAAGUUGAGAAAACCAUGCACACUAGUGAGAGUGGAUGUCCCAAGCACAAAGAGAACAUGGAAAGUAUGUUGAAUCCAGGUAAGAAGCAUGAUUGAGUUUUGUUGAGCAUCAUGGAUGGGAAUGACUGAGCUAGAGAACAUAUUCUCACAGGAUUUCAAUUUAGGAGGAAUUUAGUUACGUUCACAGGAUACCCAGUGUGGUGGUGAGUCCUACAGAGU
rnacentral:lncRNA from 1 species